rnacentral:tRNA from 1 species
GACCUGGGCAGGUAAGGGGUAAGGAGUUGGUCUUGCAACCUAAAGGUCGCAGGUUCGAUUCCCUGCUGGGACA